AAGUCGUAACAAGGUUUCCGUAGGUGAACCUGCGGAAGGAUCAUUAACACGUAUCCACGUAAACACUAAGAGAACCUAUUUCACCAGCUCCCUGUGCGAAGAAUGAAUGGCAAUCCAGUAGAGAUAAUAUAGGGAUGCUCUGCGUCUUCUCUACCCGAUCACUUAUCCAAGGCUGAAAGGCUGCGGAUAGACAUUGGAUCUUUUGUGCAGGCUAAUCUCAUCGACGCUUCUUCUAUAUGAUCUGCCGAUGGGAACCAUAUUUCACCUAUUUCACCCCCUUUUUGCUAGUUGACUUUUAUAUGUGUAUCAGUACUUCGGUACCGUUCACACGUUUAUUAAUUGAACGUUAAAAAUACAACUCUUAGCAAUGGAUAUCUUGGUUCUC
rnacentral:misc_RNA from 1 species